AGUCGAGCGAAGCUUUUCAGUAGUUUACUACAGAAAAUGACUGAGCGGCGAACAGGUGAGUAACGCGUGAGCAACCUACCUUAGUUUCUGGGAUAGCCCGAGGAAACUCGGAUUAAUACCGGAUAUUCUUAUUUAAUCACAUGAUUUUUUAAGGAAAGGUCAGCCGAACUAAGAUGGGCUCGCGUUCUAUCAGCUAGUUGGUAGGGUAAUGGCCUACCAAGGCAACGACGGAUAGCUGGUCUGAGAGGACGAUCAGCCACACUGGGACUGAGACACGGCCCAGACUCCUACGGGAGGCUGCAGCAGGGAAUAUUGCGCAAUGGGCGAAAGCUUGACGCAGCGACACCGCGUGUGGGAUGACGGAUCUAGGUUUGUAAACCACUUUCAGGAGGGAAGAAAAUGACGGUACCUCCACAAGAAGCCCCGGCCAACUACGUGCCAGCAGCCGCGGUAAUACGUAGGGGGCGAGCGUUGUCCGGAUUUAUUGGGCGUAAAGAGCUCGUAGGCGGUUCAACAAGUCGGUCGUGAAAGUUCAGGGCUCAACCCUGAAAUGUCGAUCGACACUGUUGUGACUAGGAUACGGUAGAGGUGAGUGGAAUUCCGAGUGUAGCGGUGAAAUGCGUAGAUAUUCGGAGGAACACCAAUUGCGAAGGCAGCUCACUGGGCCGCUAUCGACGCUGAGGAGCGAAAGCUAGGGGAGCAAACAGGAUUAGAUACCCUGGUAGUCCUAGCUGUAAACGAUGGAUACUAGACGUAGGAAUUGGAUUAACGAUUUCCGUGUCGUAGCUAACGCGUUAAGUAUCCCGCCUGGGGAGUACGGUCGCAAGACUAAAACUCAAAGGAAUUGACGGGACCCCGCACAAGCGGCGGAGCAUGCGGCUUAAUUCGAUGAUACCCGUAGAACCUUACCUGGACUUGACAUAUAGGGAAAAGUUAUAGAAAUAUAAUGUGCAUUAGCGCCCUAUACAGGUGGUGCAU
rnacentral:rRNA from 1 species